GUAUGUGAUCCGACCCCUCUUCAUACAGACCAAUUAAACCACAGGAUGUGCCUCCGACUGACUAGGGUACGAGCGCCUCUCCAACUGAACUGUCAAAGUGCCCAUUGAGCCAACCCACGUUGCGCCUUGCCUUCCAAGACAUUCUUGUUUUCCAGAAUAAAUCCAGCCUUCAAGUAUAUGCCUUGCUUUCCAAGAGCCCCACGAAUUGAACCCACGACCUCUGAACUGCCAGCCUUGAGAGAACCCUUCCUUUGCCAGUGGAAAAGUGCCCCGGGGGGCUUGGUUUCAGCAUUCUUGAUAUUACUGAUGCUAGUUCAACUUGCUUUUUACUGGUUUCUUGUAUGCAUAUAUAAUGCUCUAGUCAUGAUGGGGUUGUCGACCCACAAAUUUGAAGGCAGAUUGAAGUAGACACCUGUUUUUAAAACGACCCUAGAAUGAUCCAGAAAAGGGAGAGGAUCAAGUGUCGAAUUGUUUAUGAUAAAUAUGUCACAAAAUUUUGACAUCGAUUUCCAGUUCCAUCCCUCUCCAAGUUGAUAAACCUAC
rnacentral:lncRNA from 1 species